rnacentral:lncRNA from 1 species
GCAGACCAUUUUGCAGCAAAUGGCAGGGGUCUGCAGGUUCAGCCCCUGCAGCAGCUUGGCAGUGAGCACCUCUAGCAAAGUGAGGACACCGACCCCUCCAGCAGGGUAUACAGAAGUUAAUUCCCAAGACAUUGCUGAUAAUUGCUUAAUGUACUUGAACAGGUGGAAAUUAGGAACUCAACUUUUUGUCUGAUGGCAUUUGCAGAAAGAUCCCCUGCAAAUGUUCUCAGCCCGUGCUGCUGUUGCUACCACAUUAAUGAUGUGCAGCGCAGUGACUCCGAAAGGCACCGGUCAUAAAUCAGCUGCCGGCUGCGAGGGUAUCAGUGACCCUAGAAAAAUGUGCUCUGCUGGGGGACGGGGGAGGACACCAGAGAUAGCUGCUUGCUCUUUCUAGUCGAUUAGACGUCCAGAGCCCUACAAGUACAGCUGGCCUUGUCAUAUGCAGCAUGCCAAAGCCAAAGACGGCUGAGCGUGGAGAGCUGCUCUUAGCUCAUGAUGUGUGGUCCUGGUGCUGCAAGGGAUCUGUGAGUACGAGCUUCCUGAUCCCUGCAAGGGUACAUGAGGGAGGCCGAAGGCAUCUCAUAAUAGACACGGAGUUAUGUUGAACAUUUAGGUGCCUACGCACUUUUUUUUUUUUUGUAAUGUCUAUUUUGCAAAUCCCUACAACUCAAACAGGAAUUAAGGCAUUAAAAAGGGAAACCUUUUUAUAAGCAAAAAAGAAGGCAUCAGCAUAGCGUGAAAUAGAAAGAUAUUGUAAUGCAGACAGAGAGAAAACUCUUGUUUCCAAAAUAAAAUAAAAUAAAAUAAAAUACAUGCCAUAUAGCUACCAGAGCCCCAGCAGUGCAGUUGGUGUGGCUCAGUCUGAAAGAUCAGCCCAGCAUGGGAGUGGAGAUGAAAGCACCCAGAGGAGCCCCACGCACUUUCAUCCUGAGUUAUCACCGUGCAGCAGCAUUACAGCUGCGGAGGAAAAUAACCACCCCACGAUGAGUGUAAGGUUUGCCAAACUUAGGUGGGAGGACAGAGGAAAUGAGCACCCGUCAUGGAAAGACAGAAGACACUAGGACACUAAAUAUAUGACCAAGAACCGGAGAGCUUACAUGAGGGAAGGGAGGGCUGCAGGAAG